UACAGAGGUGGCAAGCGUUGUUCGGAAUUACUGGGCGUAAAGGGCGCGUAGGCGGUUCGUUAAGUCCUGUGUGAAAUCCCUCAGCUUAACUGGGGAACUGCGUCCGAUACUGGAUGGCUUGGAUUUGGGAGAGGGAUGCGGAAUUCCAGGUGUAGCGGUGAAAUGCGUAGAUAUCUGGAGGAACACCGGUGGCGAAGGCGGCAUCCUGGACCAAUAUUGACGCUGAGGAGCGAAAGCCAGGGGAGCAAACGGG
rnacentral:rRNA from 1 species